AAUAUUUAAGACUAGGCAUUACAAGUAAUAGAGAAAGCAGAAGAGCAUCUUUGUUAGUAUAGCAUGUGAGUUGACAGAGGUCUGAGUGAAGUGGUAGCCAGGUAUCCUACAAAGCAGCAAUCACUAGUUCUAAUACUCAACGUCAUGUUUCUGUUGUCAGGGUGACCCUUUCAUAAUUGAUGCUACCUCUUUGCUCUUAUUUUAUUUCCAAGUUUGGAGUCCUGCUAAAUGGUGAUCUCAGCCUAAACAAGUUUAAUGUGCUUCUUGAAGUUCAUCUGCCUUUCUUUCUCUUGUCCUUCCCUUCCAGCAUACUAGAGUUUUCCCAGGUAUGAUAUGUAAUAGAGACAACAAAUUUAAAAAUUAAAGGAGAAAGAUGAAUUUUAUUACUUCUUCUCAGCAUGACUUUGUGUUUAUUUUAUAGCACCCUGAAAUUCAACUAAAAGAGAGCAAUAAAGUCACACCUUCCCAAUAUGACUAUCAUGUGUGAGUGAUGUGGAGACCGCACACCUGCCUGAGUCUCAGAAGUGAUGGAGAGGCCACAGACCAGCCUGCCUGUCAGGGUUUAUGUUUUCUCUGUAAAUUAUUCUUGAUGACUUGGAGAUUGCUAAUGAAGGAAUUGAUAUGUAUGCUUAAAAAUGCUUUUUAA
rnacentral:lncRNA from 1 species